rnacentral:lncRNA from 1 species
AAAAUUUUGGGAGCGACGCAUUAGCAGCAAAUGUGCGUGAGAUUGGUAUGUUAUCUAUGUUUGGUGUCCAUGCAAAUAUCGGGGGGAGGGGGGAUUCCUUGAAUUUUUCUAUUGUUAAAGUAGAAGCAUAGUUAUCCGUUGAGGCGAACCUUCUAUUUUUGUUCUGAUGAAGUGUAUUUUUCAGUCACUGGAGGAGCUGAUGGUGCUACACUGGUUCGUGACAGACUAUGUGGAGCAUAUAUCUCACUGCUUUGGAGUUGAGCUGUGCAUUAUCAUGAUGGAGAUCUACGCGCAGCUCAUCAUCCGUAUGUUCGUCACCUCCUACGUCCUCUUUCUUCACGGACUCUUCCCUCUCUCCCUAGAUCAUCAACUCGUUGGUGUCUUCGACCUACUCUCGGUCACCUCCAAUCUCAGCUAUCUAUGCUACAGAUGUGAUCGUGUUGUAUAUAAGGGCUCUCAAAGUCAAUUGUUCCUACAGGAUAUCUGUAUCCAGAAUAAUCUAGACAAAUACUCAAAGAAGUGGUAAGCAAGUUGUUUGUGCAGAGUCAUAAUUCGUUACAGUAAGUUCCAUCAGCUUCGGGGCAAAUGAAGCGUAUGAAUUAGGGCAUGAAUCAUCUUCGGAAAAUUGCUCCUUUCGUAUUUUAUAAGAGCACAAAAAGGAGGAAUAUAUGGAUGAUGAUUAUGAUGACCGACAUUUCACGGACCGUAAAUCACAGUCAUCAAUCAUCAUUAGCCUUGGAGUUGAGUUUUAACUAAUACCUUUUACGAUAUUGAACCACGUGAAUAAAGUAGAAAGGUAUCUAAUAGAUCAUAUAGGGGGCGAAACAUGGAAUUAAUCGCUUAUUUUCGGUUGCAGUCUAUCAAAAGUUCCGCCCUGUUAUUGUUUUCAUGAGGUAAAAAAGCUAAUUUUUGUACCCACUUAAGUAAGAUCAGAGAUAAUUCAUCAUUUACUGCGCGAACUAUCGCAGCCGAUUUCAACAAACCUAUACGGAAACCCAUUUCAAAUAUGUUUUUUGAAUUUUGUCUUGAAUCAUCGAAAGAUUUUUAAUUAAAAAUUCAUGGAAAUCUCAAUAUAAGAUGCUAUGAUGCAUGGUAAGAUACUUUUGUCGACUCAGAUCAUAGAGCAGAUGAAUUUGAUAGAAAAUCAGCAGCUGGCAUUCUAAUCGGAUUGAAUUGCUUACCAUUUCCAUGGAAAUAUCAGAGGCAAAAAGUAGUUUCAAUAGCAGACGAUCGUCUUAUGCUGAUUUUUAUGCUCUGUCAAAGUGGGUUCCUAAAAUUUUCCCAUUAAUGACCUUCUGUCAGAGUUAAAAAUGAACUUUGAUUCACCAAUCCCUGCUAAUGAGGACAGCAAGUGUGCCAUUGAACUACAAAAUGACACACGUUCUCAUAAAAACUCAAACCAUGCGAAUAUCAGAUAUCACUAUAUAUGUGAAUGAUUAUUUAUCCAAAAAAUUCAUCAGAAUUAUAAAAUUUUCUAACAAUGAUCCUCGCAUUCUAAACUAAGAAUGAAUUGCAGAUGCAUUUACCAAAUCCCUUGGAAAAGUUCUACCAAUUUGAAAGAUUUUGACCCAUGAUAAGCAUGUAUUAAUUCUAGAAUUUUUGUCCAAAUCAUUUUCAUAAACAAUACUCUAGAAUCAAGAAAACCUGCUUGAAGUAACAUCGUUCCGCAUAUUCUGUAGUGAAUUAAUUCUGCAAAGAGACGUUUUUAAGAAAUGCAACGAAACUCUUACUUUGCAAAAGAAGAGAAAAGUUGAAGUACCCACUGCAGUUUUUUCUCUCCUUAAUUGUAUGUAACUGAGAGAGUUUGAUUUUGUUUUAACUUUAUUUCUUCACAUAUAAUGCGGAGCACCGAAUGAUUUUUUCUCGAGUUUUACUAUUCGCACAUCAAUAUUCUACAAAUAAAUUUUUAGGCGGAUUAAAAUUUCUCAACUAAAUGGACUGAUUCCGUACUAUAAAGUUUCUUCCAGUAUUUUAAAAGGUCGUUGUGAUAUUUUCUAGGUUUCAUUAUGAAUGUACCUAUACGUCUACAUAUUUAUCCCUCUGAUAAAAAAUUUAGGAGUCAUAGGUAUUAAUAAGUAAAGAGCACACGCGUGAUUUCACGAUACACUGGAAAAAAAAAUCCUAAAUUUAAGAAUAUAUGUUUCCUUAAAAAGUUUCCUGAUUCCAAUACGGCGUUAGUUCAGAAAAAGCCUACAGUUAGCUUAUUGGUCCAAGAUAACAAAAUUGUGUUGAAUUGAGGAAACUACGUUUUCUUGAACCAAGUAUACGUUUUCUCGAAACAGACUAUAACGGAUACUCGAAACAAGAAAACUGUUUCUUUAAAUUAGGAAACGAGGGAACGCCUUCUGCCUUCUGUAUCCAAAAUUUAAGGAACCUACAUUAAAGGGUCUUUGAAUUUAGUCCCUCGCUGAGAGUAAAUCUUUGUAUUUUUUACUUCACACCCCAGACUACACUAUCAAGUAUUUCUGUGCUCACAAAAUUCUGGGUAAUCUGGUAUUUGCGAUACAAAUCACCUACUCUCCAAAAAUGUAACGAUAAUGUCUAUGUCCAGAUUUUUCAGCAAUGUUUUCAACUUCACUAUACCUACUGCCCCUCUGUUUCUCAUUAGAAAAGUAGAUAUACAUGGUGUAACGAAAGUCCGUCCCACCCCUGCUAACUUUGAACGAAUUGAGCUAGGAAAAUGCAACUUUGGAAAUGUUCGUAUCUCAAAAGGGGUUAU